GUCCAGAAUAGGCGAAAGCUUAUAGAUGCUGCUUUUCUUUUCGACCCCCCUUUUCCACGGAUGCUUCUGCGGGGUCUGUUUGCGCAAGCUGACGAUUUCGCUGUUGUAGGCCCUUCGUUGUAUGCCCCGAAUUAUCACCCGUUCGGCUUCCGCUAGCUCAUCUUGGGUCAGUGGCCCAAUCACUGUGGCGUGACGCGACGACGGAUAUUCUGCGCGAAGCGAAUUACAAACGCUACGGCACGAAGCACCCGUUUCCACUUCGAGAACCGGUCGAGAACGAUGAGCGGUUCUGUAACUUGGUGGUGAUGGACACUCUUUCGAAGCUCUUCCGACGUGUCUUUCUCCGGGUCGACGCGAGCAGGCCACGCAUUUUCCGGUCCCCAGAGAAACGGCGGUCCGCUAAACCAUCGCCCUUGUGCCGAUAGGUCCGGCGUCUUAGCCCAUUUCGUCCCAUCGUCAGCCCCCGGGCCUACUCUUGCCACUGCGCAAGGCCCGUAGACGAUCCAUCCCAGCCGGGUUUUCGAGACGACCGGCUCGUUGCACUUUCCGUCUACACUCUUAAGCACUCGAGUCAUAUUACAGUUAUCGAUGCCUAUGAGGACGCGAGGUACGGCUCGGACGUAGGAUGUGACGGGAAGACCUCUCAGAUCAGUCUAUUUUUCCGACAGUUGAGUCACGUUGACGAACUGUGCUGGAAGAGCAGCCUCUUUGAGGUUGUGCACCUCUGAUAGUUCGUAGAUCGUUUCCGGCACAGCGGAUGCGGCGUUCCAGUAAGUCCGAGUUCCUAUAUCAGUCUGUGCUUCACAAACGUGGGCGUAGAGUCGUCGUCUAGGAAGGCAAACGUGUCUAUGCGCCCACCAGGUCCAUGCAGCGUAACGGGUACUUAUUUGAGGAGCGCGUUCUCCUUCAGUCCCGAAUGGGUAAGAACGUUAGCUACAUCAGCGUCAACGGUUUUACCUGAAACGCCGAGCAGAUCGCGCUCGUCAAGGUCGGCGUGUGUCCGGUUAUCUACGUGAAGCAGCUCAUGAUGUUGCACGCCGCAUCCAUUUACCCCACACGGCGCCUUUACGCCGCAUCUGCCCCCAUGGUACCCGAGGCACUUUCGACAUAUCCUGCGUUCAUUCACAAAAGCUCUCCUGGCAGCAACCGUUGUUCCUCGGAACCGCUUACACUGGGCAAGCGAAGGACAGUUCGCGCCGCACAGAAAGCAAGUCGACGGGAAGGACGCUGCGAUCGACGAUGCUGGUUCACCAGAAAAAUCCUCUUGCGUCGCGUUGCAAUAAGCAGGAUGGACUCGUCGGGUGCCGAUCGGCUGUCGUCGCUCGGGUUGCGCUGGCGGGUGUUUCUGGAGCUCGGCGUCUCGAGUCACUAUCACCCGUGACAGCAACCACGUCGAUCACGCCGCAGAGAUCUUCCGCCAGGUCGCCAAUCCAUCGACCAAACUCUAUCAGUGUGACCUCCGAAAGAUGCCUUCUCGCACGCGCCCAAUCGAUGCACAAGACGGGCGGCAGUUUCCGGACCAGCUCCUUCAGUAAUGCUACAUCGUACAUGUAGCCACGUAUCCCAGAUGCCGUCAUCGCUCCUACCAAACGCUUUACUGCGAACCCAAAUUCAACUACAGUCGACAACCUUUCAAAUUUUGUCGGCGCCAUCCUCCUGAUCUUCUCGGUCAUGGAUUCGACAAUCAAAUCGGGCCUGCCAAACCGCGCAUGUAAGGUCGCCAUAGCCUCCUUCAACCCGCUGGGGAAUGACAGGAGGUGUCCUACUGCCUCGAGCGCCGCACCUCUCAACGCCUGUUGCAGCCGCCUGGGAGCCCUACAAAGUUUCCAACGGGUAGGUAGGUCAUUAUUGGCUGUAAUAGAGAAGCUGAACAAUUUUUUCUGCCCAAAACAACAUGAUGGUUUUGAAAGCAAUAAAUUCUAGACGCGGAAGCCGGACGGGGACAGUGGGAAGUGCGAAGAGCUCGUUUUCCACUGUCACAGACGGGUACAAAAAUGCGUGUACGGAAUGGAGGGAAGCAUGCAAUUGGUAAUACAGAAAGGAAACGCUUGGAAAUUUUUUUAUAACAUCACUGAUGCCAAAGAGAUGAUGUGAGUUAAAGAGCAAGCAUAAGAAUAAAGCAUGUCAAGCGGUGAGGUAUGUGGUGAGACAGAGGAAUGUGUGGAAACAUUCCCUCGCUAUGAGGAUAGACCAAAAUCGCGGACAGCCUCGAGAAAGUUUUCCGCAAAUGUAAAAAUAGAAGAUCCAGGAAAAAUAACAGAACUUUCACAAAGUUUUUACGUCGUAAAGGGAAACCAACAAUCACUAGUAGGUAAAGAUAAAAGAAGUAAGAGUUGAAAUACCCAUAGACAGACCGGGUGUCUAUAGGCGAACGGGUGUCUCCUUUAGUUCCAAUCAUUACGAACAAUGGUGAUUUGCGCCUAUGUGUAGAUAUGCGUAGAGCAAAGAAGGCCAUCAUGAGUGAGCAACACUUCACCACGGCUAAAAUAUUCUCUCGUUUGGACUUUAAGGAAGCCCAAACCUCCUUAAUUCUCUAUACCUUUUCCAUCAGGUAUAACUGCACGAGAAUAGCAAAAAUAUAAAAGAUAUAAAAAGAUAUAAAAGAUUGUUAUUUGGAAUUGUAGCUACGCCGGGAAAUUUCCAGUGUAUUAUGGAACACAAUUUGGCCAAAUUUAAUAGAAACGUUGUGAAUUGUAUUGACGACAUAAUAAACCACCAUACACCAUACGA